rnacentral:rRNA from 1 species
GACCUACGGGCGGCUGCAGUGGGGAAUAUUGCACAAUGGGGGAAACCCUGAUGCAGCAACGCCGCGUGAGUGAUGACGGCCUUCGGGUUGUAAAGCUCUGUCUUCAGGGACGAUAAUGACGGUACCUGAGGAGGAAGCCACGGCUAACUACGUGCCAGCAGCCGCGGUAAUACGUAGGUGGCGAGCGUUGUCCGGAUUUACUGGGCGUAAAGGGAGCGUAGGCGGACUUUUAAGUGAGAUGUGAAAUACCCGGGCUCAACUUGGGGGCUGCAUUUCAAACUGGAAGUCUAGAGUGCAGGAGAGGAGAAUGGAAUUCCUAGUGUAGCGGUGAAAUGCGUAGAGAUUAGGAAGAACACCAGUGGCGAAGGCGAUUCUCUGGACUGUAACUGACGCUGAGGCUCGAAAGCGUGGGGAGCAAACAGGAUUAGAUACCCCAGUAGUC